UAUGCGUGAUUCAUUUUUUUCAAUGUAGUUCAGCCUCCUGUUUGUGGAGGGAGCUGCAAACUACACUUGAGGCAAGAGGGAGAAACGCUACAGCGUCUCAGUCUGAAGUCGCUGACACUACACUGGAGGUGAAGAGGCACCCCCAAAAGAAGAACUGCAAUAGGAAAUUACAGCCCCCAACAGAUGUACAUCUCCUACAAGAAAUAGACUACUCCAGCAAUUUAGCCAAUGAGAAACCAUCAUCAACCUGAACUCUUCCUUUUCUCCAAUGGACCCGUUGGAAACAACCCCUCCCAACUUUCUCCUGCUCCAUAAAAUAAUGUUCCUCCUCUU